rnacentral:lncRNA from 1 species
AGCCAUCUGGAGAACUUGUUAAAAAUACAGAUUGCCCAGGCCCCACUUCUGAAAUUUUGGUUCAGGAAGAAUCACAUAAAGAAAUUUUCCUAUUGAUUCUGGGCACAUCCAAGUUUGAGAACCAUCGUGUGUGGGGGAGCAAUAAGGAUCCAUCAUAGCAUACUGGGAAAGAGAAUAACAUAUUUUGGAAAGAGAAUUCUUUUGCCAGUGGAAAGUUGCAUUGGAGCAAGUCAAAGCAGGAGAUGGAGAGACCUGAUAAGAGACCAUAUGAUAGAACACAUCAGAAGUGGUGAGCUCCUGCAUCACAGUGGGGAGAGGGGGCCUGAGGAGGAGGUGAAUGUUUAGGCAUUUCUGAGAAAUGAGAAAUGAAAUCCACAGGACUAGAUGAGGUCUUUGAUGUGGGAAGUGAAGCAGGCUGGAGUCUAGUUUGUAAAAGGUGCCCUUGAGAACUGGAAGUUGUAAGCAGAGGUGUGGCUGUGUGUACAGCAGCAAGGUGUUAGCUCAAGGUGGGGGUCUGAGUUGGAGCUUGCCAUGGGGCGAGGCUGAGGUUUGGGACUGGGCUAGCCAAGAUCUGGAGGCUCAGAUCUGGGAACUCUGGAGCCUGGAGACUUACUGAUCAUGGCUCAUCUGGGAAGACCUCUGGUUUGUAAUACUCAUGGAUCCCUACCAAUAGUCACUCUGCAGUUAGGUUUCUCUCUAAUUUAUAUAACUCCCUGAAGCCAGGUACUAUGUUUUAAAUGGUUCCUAAUGCCUAGCCUAGUUCCUGCACAUAUUUAAUGCUCAUUAACAAUUUUUAAGUGAAUGUAUUU